CAAUAGCAUAUAUUAAAGUUGUUGCGGUUAAAAAGCUCGUAGUUGGAGUUCUGCCAGGUGCCGCCUGUCCGCCCCAGUGGUGAGUACGUGGCGCGCAUUUGGCCCUUUCAAGGGGAGCGUAUCUGCACUUUAUUGUGUGGUGCGGGAUCCUUGACUUUUACUUUGAGGAAAUAGGAGUGUUCCAAGCAGGCUCUCGUCGUGCACAGCUCAGCAUGGAAUAAUAGCAUUGGACCUCGAUUCUAAGCUGUUGGUUGCCAGAAGCGAGGUAAUGAUGAAGAGGGAUAGUUGGGGGCAUUCGUAUUUAACUGUCAGAGGUGAAAUUCUCGGAUUUGUUAAAGACGGACUACUGCGAAAGCAUCUGCCAUGGAUGUUUUCAUUGA
rnacentral:rRNA from 1 species